ACUUAUUCCUUAAAUAAACUUCCAAUCUCUAAAAUGUCGAAGUUUCCAGGAGCCUCGCCCCUGACCAGUGACCUCCUCCAAUGGCUUCUCUGGUCGUCCCCUGGCCCCGGUCAAUUACACUCUCAUUGUUGUCAUCGUACUCCCGUCUCAGUCAUUUCCUGGCGUCACCAUUGGGAGAGGGGGAAGAUUUCUGUGCGUUGUCUAAAUUCGGAGUGGCUGAUCAAAUGGAUUGAAUUAUUGUUAGUCUGUUCAUACAGGAUCCAUAUUUUCGAUCGACAAUAAGUUGUGUAUUUGAUUAUUCUAAUUUUUGGUAAUGAUAAAUGUAUUACUUCUCAUGCUUUGUGCCUUUGUAUACACCAAUAAAUCAUAAAUUAUACGUUAAUAUAGCUCUAAUGAAUCUCUAUACUACACCUUAUUCCCAGCGAUCUCAUUUAUCUAGACGUCACAACUGUAUACGAAAGUAACGAAGCAUUCUGGUGAACAUGGAGUAUUUACCUUGGGAACAAAACAAAUUAGUACAGGCUAUAGAGAGAAAGGACUGGCCAGCAGUAAGAAACAUCCUGGAAAAUGAACCGCACCUUAAUGAAACUGUGGAUGAGGACGGCUGGACGCCAUUAAUGUACGCUGUGCAGUGGGGAGCACCAGAUGAUGUGUUGGAGAAUAUGAUUGAAACGGCAACAGUUAAGUGUUUAGAACAUGAGAGG